rnacentral:rRNA from 1 species
UACGGAGGGUGCGAGCGUUGUCCGGAAUCACUGGGUGUAAAGGGCGCGUAGGCGGCGCGGGCAGUCAACGGUGAAAGCUUGGGGCUCAACCCCGAGUCGGCCGUCGAUACUCCCGUGCUUGAGCACUGUAGAGGCAGGUGGAAUUCCGGGUGUAGCGGUGGAAUGCGUAGAGAUCCGGAAGAACACCGGUGGCGAAGGCGGCCUGCUGGGCAGUAGCUGACGCUGAGGCGCGACAGCGUGGGGAGCAAACAGG